GCGGCCCGUGAGAGCGGGAGCCCGGAGAUGGGCACUGAGACAAGGGCCCAGGCCUACGGGGCGCAGCAGUCGCGAAAACUUUGCAAUACACGAAAGUGUGACAGGGCUAUCCCGAGUGCCAUCCGCUGAGGAAGGCUUUUACCCAGUCUAGAACGCUGGGGGAAUAAGGAGAGGGCAAGUCUGGUGUUAGCCGCCGCGGUAAUACCAGCUCUCCGAGUGGUGUGGAUGUUUAUUGGGCCUAAAGCAUCCGUAGCUGGCUAAGUUAGUCCCCUGUUAAAUCCAACGAAUUAAUCGUUGGAUCGCGGGGGAUACUGCUUGGCUAGGGGACGAGAGAGGCAGACGGUAUUUCCGGGGUAGGGGUGAAAUCCUAUAAUCCCGGGAAGACCACCAGUGGCGAAGGCUGUCUGCUAGAACGCGCCCGACGGUGAGGGAUGAAAGCUGGGGGAGCGAACCGGAUUAGAUACCCGGGUAGUCCCAGCUGUAAACGAUGCAGGCUAGGUGUUUGGACGGCCACGUGCCGUUCUAGUGCCGCAGGGAAGCUGUUAAGCCUGCCGCCUGGGGAGUACGAUCGCAAGAUUGAAACUUAAAGGAAUUGGCGGGGGAGCACCACAAGGGGUGAAGCUUGCGGUUUAAUUGGAGUCAACGCCGGG
rnacentral:rRNA from 1 species